UACGAAGGGGGCUAGCGUUGUUCGGAAUCACUGGGCGUAAAGCGCGCGCAGGCGGCGAUCUACGUCUGGGGUGAAAGCCCGGAGCUCAACUCCGGGACUGCCUUGGAUACGGGAUCGCUUGAGGAUUGGAGAGGCAAGGGGAAUUCCACGUGUAGUGGUGAAAUGCGUAGAGAUCGGGAGGAACACCGGUGGCGAAGGCGGCCAGCUGGCGCUGACCUGACGCUGAGGCGCGAAGGCAUGGGGAGCGAACGGG
rnacentral:rRNA from 1 species